rnacentral:rRNA from 1 species
GUGUCAGCAGCCGCGGUAACACGUAGGGGGCGAGCGUUGUCCGGAUUUAUUGGGCGUAAAGAGCUCGUAGGCGGUUCGAUUAGUCGGGUGUGAAAACUCCAGGCUCAACCUGGAGACGCCACCCGAUACUGUCGUGACUAGAGUCCGGUAGGGGAGUGUGGAACUCCUGGUGUAGCGGUGAAAUGCGCAGAUAUCAGGAAGAACACCUGUGGCGAAGGCGGCACUCUGGGCCGGUACUGACGCUGAGGAGCGAAAGCGUGGGGAGCGAACAGGAUUAGAUACCCUGGUAGUCCACGCCGUAAACGUUGGGCACUAGGUGUGGGACCUUGUCAACGGGUUCCGUGCCGUAGCUAACGCAUUAAGUGCCCCGCCUGGGGAGUACGGCCGCAAGGCUAAA